UACGUAGGCGGAAGAUUAAGUCAGUGGUGAAAUCCUGCAGCUUAACUGUAGAACUGUCAUUGAUACUGGUUUUCUUGAAUUUAGUUGAGGUAGGCGGAAUGUGUAAUGUAGCGGUGAAAUGCUUAGAUAUUACACAGAACACCGAUUGCGAAGGCAGCUUACUAAACUAUGAUUGACGCUGGGGUACGAAAGCGUGGGGAGCGAACAGGAUUAGAUACCCUGGUAGUCC
rnacentral:rRNA from 1 species